AUUGAACGCUGGCGGCAGGCCUAACACAUGCAAGUCGAACGAGUGGCGGACGGGUGAGUAACGUCUGGGAAAGUGCCUGAUAGAGGGGGAUAACUAUUAGAAAGGGCAGCUAAUACCGCAUACUAUCCGAUGUGCCCAUGUGGGAUUAGCUGGUGGGUGGGGUAAAGGCUCACCAAGGCGACGAUCACUAGCUGGUCUGAGAGGAUGAUCAGCCACACUGGGACUGAGACACGGCCCAGACUCCUACGGGAGGCAGCAGUGGGGAAUAUUGCACAAUGGGCGCAAGCCUGAUGCAGCCAUGCCGCGUGUAUGAAGAAGGCCUUCGGGUUGUAAAGGACUUUCAGCAGGGAGGCGUUACCUGCAGAAGAAGCACCGGCUAACUACGUGCCAGCAGCCGCGGUAAUUC
rnacentral:rRNA from 1 species